UUAAUACUGUUAAAUUUGUUGGU
rnacentral:miRNA from 1 species